AACAUUACAUGGCAUUGCCUACUGAAGAUGGGACUUAGCACAAAAACCAUCAUGGAUUCCAUCAAAGAGAUUAUUAACGUCUCAAAACGUCUCCAAGGAUACAUGAUCUACAAAGGACCACAGAGUGCCCUGCAGAAUUGGGUUGAAAAACUAAAGAAGGCAAAUCGAGUUUAUGACCAAGAAGAUUUUGAAGUUUCAUCCUCAGAGUCAGGGUAACCUGAAAAGCCGAGACGGCACAACCAACAUGGAGCAUGUUCCUGAGAAAUUCCCAACUUUCCACUCAUCUCCAAACACCGUGAACUUUUCCAUCGAAAUUUUCCAGAUACAGCAAAGCUUCAAAGCACGAAAAAGAUGAACUCAAAACACCAGUGACCAGAGGAACCAUGACAACACAAACAAGAAGGAAACAAGAAAGAAAAGCAUAAUCCUGGUUUUUGUGUUCUGAAUUGUGGAUUUGAAAUUGAGGCUCCCGUGGCUGCUGACAGCCUGCCUUGAUGCUGCUGAUGUCUGGGUGAUGAACAGUCAUGGGUUUCCUCCCACCUGCCUCUGUGGAUUAAUGAAGAGCAAGGCAGGAAUGGCAGACCCGCCAUCUGGAAUGACCUUACCUGAUAAGAUUGUUCUGGCUUCCCCGCCAAAGGUGAGGAGGGCUUUCAGGAUGCAGGAGACUGUUUUCCCCACAACUUAAUGAGAAAAAUUGACCUGUUUAUUCACCAGCUGUCUUCUUUGUUUCUAAUCCAAGCAAUUGCUGCAAAAUCUUUUUCACUUCUUCCAUGUUGAAAUUGAGCAGAAAGCCCCUCGAGUGUGGCUUAUCUUUGGCAAACAACAAGGAAUCAGGUUGGAGGAUUCACACAGACUCGCUGGGAGACACAUGGAAUGGGAGACCAUCAAAUAUUUACACACUGUGUUCAAGAUCCAUUCUUAGAAGUGUGAGCAUAAUUUAUGUGACAUUUUGAGCACUGUGCCAGUGAGCGCCUUCUCUAUGUACAAAAUGUGCUUCUUUAGUCAUGGCUGUAUCACUUUUGGUGGAGUGCAGCCUUUGUGAGUUUCAAUGGUAUGGCAGCCAUUUCUCUGGGGCAAGAGUAGACACCACCAAGGAAAGCCAUUGUUUUCCUGUGUGAGCUAGUGUUUUCUCUAUAAAGCUUGUAAAAGGGUGUUCUACCUGUUGUGAACUUCUUGCUGAAAACUGUUUACUUUUGGAAUAUGCAUAUAUGUUCAUAAAAAGGGAAUGAAAUCUAUUGGGGCUGCCAAACAAUGACAGAAAUCAGAAUGUUAAAAUAACUCCAGCAAUCUAGAUAUUUCCUGUAAGUUUUCUGUGAAUUCUGGAUCUUGCAAUUUUUAAAAGACUUUAAUUUUUUUUUCUUUUCAAAUCUCCCUCUUCACAGAAUGGAUCUUGCAAUUUUUAAUGUCUGAAAGAAUUCUAUAGAUAAUAACAGCCAACAUCAAUAGCCUCCACAGUAUUCAAAGGGCAUGAUAUGUAUUUACUUACUUAAUUUUCCCUGCAAUCCUGAGUCAGAAAUAAUCAUUAUAACCAUUGUAGCUAACAUACCCAAGCACACACAGAAAUUAAGUGGUAAAGCCAUUGAGUUCAGCCACUGGACUUCAACUGAAUGUUCUUAAAUCCUAUGCUACAUUUGGCAGAACUAUGGUUUGUCCACCUUGGCACCAGUGACAUUUGAGGAUGGAUGAAUCCUUGUUGUCUAGGGCUGUCCCAUGCAUUGUAGGAUAUUCAGCAGCAUCCAUGGCCUCAACCCAUCAACUGCCAGUGCCACCCCCACAACCCCUCACUGUAACAACCCCAAAUGGCUCUAGAAUGGCCAGAUGUCCCCAGGGAGAACAAAAUCGCCCCUGGUUGAGAACCGCUGGGUCGAGCUACAUAAAAUUCCAACAUUGGAUUAUUCUUAACCUGCAAAAGUGGCAAUUUCAAUUGAACUUGGUCCAAUUGAAGUCUGUUCCUGGUCAAGCUUCCCUGAUAGACUAGUUUUUCAGAUGGGUUCAGAAGGGUGUUGAGUACAUGGGAAACGAGAGAUCUGGAAGGGCUUUGCAAACCCCAAAACUCCAGUAUGUGCAGCAGUCACAGAGACACCCCAGAUUCGGAAUAGACUGAGAUGAGAACCAAGGAACUGAUGGAGUUUGAAAUUACUUCGCUUUAAAGCACAUGUGCAGGUUAAUUGCUGACAAAGAAAGUUGCAGGUGGGCAUGGAAAGCUGGAGAGGGGCUCAAUGCAAAGUUUCUUAAAGGCUUAAACCAAUAAAACUCGAAUCCCAUUCCUCACUCUCCAAGGAGCCCACUCCAUUAUGAAAAAGAACUUCAAGCAAAUUUGAAUCUUUCUUCACUGAGUUCUAACGUACUCCAGACCUGUAUUGUGGAAGCUCUUCCUAAAGUCCAUUUGUGCUUCCUGGCUAAGUGUGGAAUGACUGCGCUGCUAUAUCCCAUCAUGGGCAAAGGGUACCUGCUAUGAAGGGCGAACUGGCAUCAGCCUAAGUCUUCAUUAAGAACAAGAACCACAACAUUUGGAGAUUACCAACAUGGUUUUCAGCCCUCAGCUUUGGUGAGACUUCUUCCUUUUCAUUCUUUUCUGGGCAAAUCUAAACCUUUGGAGAAGUAGAUGAGUGAAGUCAGUUGCAAAGGUAAGAGAGAUAUUCUGGGCUCUCCUAUAACCUCUUUUAGGACAGAAAUGGUUGGCAGGGACGUCUACCAAUCAUAACACCUUCACCUCACUUGGGGUGGGUUCCAUGAGCAGAUCGCUUUCUGCUGUGUUGCAAUUGCUUUCCAUGAAAAGCUGGCAUAAUUCCUUUUUUUUUUAAUUUUAAUUUUAAUUUUUAUUAUUAUACUUUAGGUUUUAGGGUACAUGUGCACAAUGUGCAGGUUUGUUACAUAUGUAUCCAUGUGCCAUGUUGGUGUGCUGCACCCAUUAACUCGUCAUUUAGCAUUAGGUAUAUCUCCUAAUGCUGUCCCUCCCCCCUCCCCCAACCCCACAACAGUCCCUGGAGUGUGAUGUUCCCCUUCCUGUGUCCAUGUGUUCUCAUUGUUCAAUUCCCACCUAUGAGUGAGAACAUGCGGUGUUGGGUUUUUUGUCCUUGCGAUAGUUUACCGAGAAUGAUGUUUUCCAAUUUCAUCCAUGUCCCUACAAAGGACAUGAACUCAUCAUUUUUUAUGGCUGCAUAGUAUUCCAUGGUGUAUAUGUGCCACAUUUUCUUAAUCCAGUCUAUCGUUGUUGGACAUUUGGGUUGGUUCCAACUCUUUGCUAUUGUGAAUAGUGCCGCAAUAAACAUACGUGUGCAUGUGUCUUUAUAGCAGCAUGAUUUAUAGUCCUUUGGGUAUAUACCCAGUAAUGGGAUGGCUGGGUCAAAUGGUAUUUCUAGUUCUAGAUCCCUGAGGAAUCGCCACACUGACUUCCACAAUGGUUGAACUAGUUUACAGUCCCACCAACAGUGUGAAAGUGUUCCUGUUUCUCCACAUCCUCUCCAGCACCUGUUGUUUCCUGAUUUUUUUAAUGAUGGCCAUUCUAACUGGUGUGAGAUGGUAUCUCACUGUGGUUUUGAUUUGCAUUUCUCUGAUGGCCAGUGAUGAUGAGCAUUUCUUCAUGUGUUUUUUGGCUGCAUAAAUGUCUUCUUUUGAGAAGUGUCUGUUCAUGU